rnacentral:rRNA from 1 species
GAUGAACGCUGGCGGCGUGCUUAACACAUGCAAGUCGAACGGAACUACUCCAAUGAGAGUCUUCGGAAAGGAGUUGGUUUAGUUUAGUGGCGGACGGGUGAGUAACGCGUGGGUAACCUGCCCUAUACAGGGGGAUAACAGUUGGAAACGACUGUUAAUACCGCAUAAGCGCACAGGAGCGCAUGCUCCGGUGUGAAAAACUCCGGUGGUAUAGGAUGGACCCGCGUCUGAUUAGCUGGUUGGCGGGGUAACGGCCCACCAAGGCGACGAUCAGUAGCCGGCCUGAGAGGGUGAACGGCCACAUUGGGACUGAGACACGGCCCAAACUCCUACGGGAGGCAGCAGUGGGGAAUAUUGCACAAUGGGGGAAACCCUGAUGCAGCGACGCCGCGUGAGCGAAGAAGUAUCUCGGUAUGUAAAGCUCUAUCAGCAGAGAAGAAAAUGACGGUACCUGACGAAGAAGCCCCGGCUAACUACGUG